UUCAUUUAUCUAUGGCCUUUGGAUGAUUUAGGAAAGCAAUUUUUGUUUGUUGAGACGGAGUCUUGCUGUAUUGCCAGGCUGGAAUGUAGUGGCAUGAUCUCGGCUCACUGCAACCUCUGCCCUCUGGGUUCAAGUGAUUCUUCUGCUUCAGCCUCCCAAGUAGCUGGGAUUACAGGCACACCCCACCACACCCAGCUAAUUUUUGUAUUUGUAGUAGACAGGGGUUUCACCAUAUUGGGCAGGCUGGUCACGAUCUCUUGACCUCAUGAUCUGCUCACCUCGGCCUCCCAAUGUGCUGAAAUUACAGGCAGAAAACAUUCUUUAGAAAAAAGCCAAGUGAGUUUAUCUGGUAUUUCCUGUCUCAUAAUUUUUUUUGGUACUAUCUUUUGGAGGAGCUCUCAGGAAUCUGAAGAAAGUAAAAAUAUCCUUUUACAUUUUUUUCUUACUUCGACUUGAUAAUGUUUCUUAUCUCUUUUCCUGAUGAAAUAUAUGGAAAUAUUGGUAAAAGUACAUCAUGGUCUGAAAUAAUGUGAAUGGUCUGGAGAUGACUCAAGGACAAGGAUCUUGAGACAGAAGUCUACAUUCCCUAAAAGUAAUGACACCGUGUCUUUGAACAAGGCCAAGAGAGAAUCUAAUUUAUUGAAAAGGAACAUACCUAUUUCUUUCUUUUGAACAGUGGCUUUUAAAUAUUUUUUCCCCUACCACAACUUACAGUAAGAAAUACCUUUUACAUUAUGACCUGAUACACACACAUGCAUGGUGUAUACGUGUCUAAAAUAAUAGUUUCACGGAAUGAAGCUUACCCUUAUUCUAUUUGAUGUGCUCUGAAAUGUUCCAUUCUACUCUAUUUAACUUUUUAAAAUGCUGUUUGAGACCAUUAUAUUGAUUUUAUGUUCCACACUUCAAAGAUCACUGCUUUAGGGUUUUACUUAUGCUUUUCUGAAUGGCAAGCCUUCUUAAGAUGGUCUUAAAAGCACUUAAUUUGGUCCUGUUUUCUUUUCUGGGAUAUUCUGUAUCUCUAAAUACAAAUAUGAAAAGGAGUUUAUUAGGUACGGUGGAAGUAUAUUGAGAAAAAUCAAUUUAUGAUUGGCUUGGCUAAUUUAUCUGCCACACAAUAUAAGGAAACUUUCACUAUCUUUUACAUUCCUGGCACAUUCAAAUUCUUUCAUUCCUUUCUGUUCCUUUCUUAUUUUUACCAAAGACUGAUUUCCAGUUGUUAUUAGGCAUAACAGACUUAUUAAAGGGAAGGGAGGAGACUAACAUUUAAUAAGCGCCAAUUAUGUACAAGGUACUUUGCACACAUUAUUUCUUCCCAAUAACUACUCAUGGUAUUCUUUAUUCAUAUUUUUAUUGCAUAUAUUAUUUCUUCCCAAUAAUGACUCAUGGCAUUUUUUAUUCAUACUUUUAAGCUUAUAAGAAAACAGGGAUUUAGAGAGAUAAAGUAACUUGUCCAGGGUCGAAAAGUUCAAAAGCUAGUUUGUGGUAGAGCUGGUCCCCAAACUGAGGCCUGCAUAGCACCAAAAUCACUGCAACAUAUUUUCCUGAUGUCAACAUAAAAAUUACAAAAUGAAACAAAAAGAACAAUUGGAACUUAUGUUUUUAAUCUGCUAACUUUAGGAAGGCAUGUGUAUAUACUUCUCUUUGAAUUGUUGUUGCUGUUAGAGUCUUAUAUAUUUACCAGUCAUUAUACAGAACAUAUGUUGAACUACCCAACAUGUAUUAUGUGUAUACAGUCUCCCCAGCACACUAUUUAUUCAUUUAGAGUACUCCAGAUAACCUACUUACAUAAUUUUCCCCAAAAGGAUUCCAUGUUUUCUUUUGGCUUUACAAAGACACUCAGGAUUCUAAGUUAUUUGCAUUACAACAUUUACCAGUAUUAGCCCCCUCAAUAUUGAAGAGAAAAUCAAAAUAAAAUGCUUUCCUUCAUAACCUUUAGUUCUAAGCAGAGCCCAUUAGAGACUUUAAAAUAUUCACUUUUGAAGCUGAUUCUUGCAUUGGUAAACACUUUGCAUGACAUUAAAUACGCUUUGCCUGUUCUAGGAGACAGAGUGGAUUAAAUUACUUGGCUGAAGUGACAGGAAUAAAGAACAGAAUACAUCCACUCCUCCAGUCUCAUUAAGUUGCCUCUUUCUCCUGAAAUUGGAUUGGGAUUCCAGGACACCUCUCAACCUACAGGAAACACUGGAUCUAAAGCUGAAACAGGCAGGGACAACUAUAAAACAGCAUCAGUAUACUGGAACACACAGCUAUCCCUGUGUUAGGACAGAAUUAGAAGUACACCUGGUGCUUUCUCUUCAGAGGAAAGUGAAGUGGUGAGAGAAUGAAAUUUCAGGUAUCAGCUUGCACAUCACCAUUAACAGUGAAUAUCAAGUGUUUCCUCAUAGAGGUUGCAUGGUGGUAUUGAUGGAGAUGAACUCCAGUGCAGUAAGUAGGCAAAAGGUGAGAUUACCAUCAUACACAGGAUGCCACGAUGUCACAGUGGAACCAUCAGUGUUAUUUCUGAGUAAUAUCUUCAGUGGUGGUGAUGUCUUUCUUAAAUUUAGAUAGUCCUUCUAUUACCUCUCUAACUCACCCCAGGCUGGUUGACAUAUAAACGUUGCUUAGGAUCCAAAAGAUCCUGUGAAAAAUAUGAACAGUUUAACUGUGGUCUCCUCUCAUUAACUGUGAGCCUCUGUGAUUCUCAGGUUAGGGUGGAAGAUCCUCUAGGAUAGAAUGCUCUUCUGGAGAUGAAUUGAUUUGUGUUUUUGACUCCAUAUGAGAAGGGACAUGCCAGAUAACCAACUUUGGAACUCACAUUUAGGAAGAAGGGAGAAGAGGAAGUCCUGGUGGCACUGAAGUGAGCUCCACUUCCAGAAGUAGGUGCAGGCUACUUCCAGAGGUAGGUGCAGGCUACUUCCAGAGGUAGGUGCAGGCUACUUCCAGAGGUAGGUGCAGGACACACGGUCUUGCAGUGAUGGUAAGAUGGAGGCCUGUGUGCCCAGCAAUGACAGAGCACAGGCAACAUAGAAGCUGCCUCUUGAAAAAAGUUGUUUUUCACCCCUAAAAAGGAGGUCUCAUCAGGCAACUUAUGUUUUAGGUUAGAAAAUUGAAAGUUAUAUAAACCCUGAGUAUAGAUUCCUGAAAGGAAGAGAGGUCAUUGGGGAAGCUAAGGAAGAAAAGCUGUAGGGAACUUCUGGCUAAGAUUGAAAUGGAUGCAGCUGCAUCUCUGAAAGGACUGCAGAGGCCUGAAUGGGAAUCUGGAUAGUGAGGCAGUAUUUCAGAGUGACCAAGAAUCUUCCAUGGGACCACAAAGGGCAGAUUCACAGUAGCAACAUGGCAGGAGUGUGAAAAACGUCUUAGAUGUUUAAAUUGUACUGACUUUUUUUGACUUACAUAAGACCCAGGAUUUGGGGGGAUGAUUUAUAAAGACAAAAUAUAUAGUUUUCUGUUGCUGUGAUAACCAGUUACCACAAACUUAGUGGCUUAAAACAAUACAAAUUUGUUAUCUUACAAAUCUGUAGGUUUGAAGAUUGAAAUGGGUCUCUUAGGGCUAAAAUAGAGGCAUUGUUAGGGCCACAUCCCUCUGCAGACUCUAGAGGAGAAUCUGUUUCUUUGCCUUUCCAGCAAUUGAGGACUGUCCACAUAUCUUGCUGGUGACCCCUUCCUUCAGCAGUGAGGUACGUCCUUCCUACAUGGCUGCCCCUCUGGUUCUUUUUCUUCUGCCUCUCUUCCACUCAUAAGAACACUGGUGAUUAUGUUGAGCUCACUUGGAUAUUUCUCCCAUUUUUACGUCAGCUGGUAACCAAACUUAAAGUCAUUUGCAACCUUAAUUCUCCUUUGCCAUGAGACCUAACAUUCACAGGUUCCAGGGAUUAGGAAACACAUCUACUGGGAGGGCCCCUAUUCUGCCUACCACACACAGCAAGCCAAACAGGGAGGUAUGGAAUUUCCUGAUACUACUGUAGGUAGAUAAGAGUGCAAGCAGGCUAAGGAAUGGAUUCAGCCCUGGUUCCAAACACUGGCUGCAUAUAUACUCAUGUGAAAGCCUUAAAAACACAAAUGGCCAGGUUACACCGUCAGACAUUCUAAUCUAAUGGGUUUGGUAUGGGUUCCAGACAUUGUAAUGUUGGGAUACAUAGAACCGGAUGACCUCGAUGAUUUUUAUGUGCAGGCAGGAUUGAGAAUCAGUGAUUUAGGAUGAGGAAGUCAAUAUCUUAACCCUAGAAAGUGAGGACAGAAAUCCAGCACUCAUGUUCUAGAAUUCUGUUCUUUUCUAAUUUCCAUCAGGUAUUUUAGUUACAUAUCCUGUUCUGCUUCUUUAAUUUAUCUCUAGCUAUCAAAUUUAAUAUAUGAGCUUUCAGUAUUCCUAGAAGUAAAGAAAUAUAUACUUGGAAAAAUAUUUUUAAUUGCACUUUAUACAUUUUAAUUUACUCCUGAUUUGUCUAAACUUGUUUUCUAAAAAUUAUUUUAACCAAAAAACUAUAUCAUUGAGUUCAUCAUUAAGAGUUUAUUUCAUGAUCUAGAUCUAGCUCAUUUGUAAUGAAGAGUUAAAUUAUGUUUCAUUCACCUUAAUGAAAUCUAUUUUCUUGCAGCUUCACUCUACAGUGUUUACUUCAUAAACACUUCAUGGUAUCUGAAUCGGUUUAUGCAUUUUCUAUUUUGUUACUUUUCUUAUUUUAUUUCGUUCUUGCAUAUAAAAUUGUUGGCAGUUGCCAUGGCAAUUCUAAUUGAUUUCUUUCUGCUGUUUUGCAGGCUUUUAAAAAGAUUUGCACAAUACAUCCUUCAUAUUGUUAUUUUUAUCUCUGUAAAUUUGUAAUGGCCUCUAAAAAAAAAGCUGUGUAACAAGAGUAUCAGAUGUUACUUUGCUCACUGUUGAGGGCUGUGAAGAACAGAAGAAAACUAAGGAAGAAAACAAAACUGGGAAGGGCAAUGAAGGAAUGGGUUAGCGUUCAAAAGUAAAGUGUGUUCCACACAAAAGAAAGAGUUCAGGUACCUGAGUCAGCGGCAAUGCAAGGACAAGAGAUGGGCUUUUAGAGAGAAUUGAGCUUGUCAAUGUGACUCAGCUCUGGAAGACCAAAAAAUUAUGGAGGGAGAGGUAGGAAAGGGAAACUGGGUGAAAUGUUAUCAUUUUCUUUGUUUAUCUUCUGGUGUAUCUCAAAACCUUCUGUUAUUCACACACAAACACACACAUGCACACACACAAGCAUGCACUCAUGGAAUGCAUCAGCAUAUCUAUUGUCAAAAUCAGCUCACAGUCUCAUUUCAGUAAAGCAGAGAUGUGACUCCUCACAAGAUGCUGUGUUGUUGAUUAACUGCCUUCUUUUAGGAGUUGAGGUACAAUGCCGUUUUCAGUCCUAGAGAUAAUGAGAAAAAGAAGAAAAUCUCUUGGGGAUCUGAAAUGAAUUCGAUUUGGUUUACUUUCACUGUAAAACUCCAGAAAAUUUACAUUGCUUUUUACUUAUGGCAUAUAUUUUUUUUCCAAAAGUUAAUUGCAACAAACUGCAAACAAACACAUUAAGGUAAAAUAACAAAUAACUCUUCUAGAGUAGAAUGGGGGUAAAUUUUAGACACAGAUGUGUGCACUAAGAUGUCUGCCCAAUGAUCAAAAUUUAGUUGAGAAUUUGCCUUUGAGAUUCCCACUGGCCAAAGUGAAGAGAAAAGCAUGAUCAGAAACAAGACUCAAAGUGCCUGGAAGGAAGCAUUUGUCAGGUACACUGGAGAAAACACAAUAUUCCCAAGAAUUGAGAUGAAAGAAAUUUCUCCAAGGAGGGGAUAUUUUAAUAUAAUAGAUAAUGGUCUCAGCAACAUCCCUGCAGUAUGAAAUAGUAUGUUUCACACAGCCACUUUUAAACAUUUUUUCACCAAAUGAAGGGCAUAAUGUUGGUACACGACUGAGAAACAGCUAUUUAAUGAGGGUGAAAGAUCUGAAGACCAAAUAUUCUGCUCUUGGGUUACCUCAGUGAUUAGAGAGUGAUUCUAUGUGGACAGGACUAUGCAGCUAGCAUGCCUAUUUUAGAGAACACUUGUGCCUCAUCCCAUUGCAUGGCAAAAUCAAGAGAUUUGGUGAGGCCGUACCCUAUAAACCAUUUCAGAUUCUCAACUUUACAGCAAAGAAACAUCACCUCAUCCUCAUCCACUCAGAUGAAAAAAGAUUUCAGUGAUAGUAAAAAUGAUUUAUCUGAGGAACCAUUAUAAAAAUUACAUUACACAGGCUUAUGUGAAAUAUUCAAAAGCUUUGAAAAAUAAAUGCCUAGAAUAAUCCCCUAUAAACCUUUUAGACAGAUUACUAUGACCCUAUUCUUCUGGUACAAACAUAAAUGUGUUUCUGAUAAAUGUAUUUUAUUAUGUUUUGAUUCAUAUGACCACCCUAUUAUAAAUUCAGGAUGGUUAAAAGCAAACUUUAAGAUUGCUCUCUUCCUCUGGCAGUCAGGACAAGGUUUAUUAAACCAAAAACAUAUGUUUAAAUUUAGUUCCACAUGUGCCAACUAGCUAUUGACUGAGCACUGACAUGUGUUUGAGCUCUAGGGAUCUCAAAUCUCUCUGCCUCUCUCCUCAGUUCUCCCACACCACGCAUCACACACACACACACACACACACACACACACACACACACACACACACAAACCCCACAUUGAAAAUUCACAUAUUUAGUAGGUAACAGGAACCUAGUAUUCAGAGCAAACACUUUCCUUGAUGAAAGAAAACAGUAUGGAAUACUGUACCCAGCACUUUACCGGCGGGUGGGGCACUAAUGAAUGAUUCUUGGCAAAUUCUGAAUACCCUUUGAGCUCGUCUUGUUCAUUAGCAAAUUGUUUUUCUUUGACUGUUUCUCAGUUAAGUACAUGACAUACUAAAAAUAGUGAUUUUCUCAAUCAGUUGCUUCCUAGGUAAGUAAACAUUCCACUGGUGGAAUACCGUUAGCAAAUUACAGUGGGAAUACAGCUUUGAAAACUAUCUAGUUUUGUUUCUCUUGGUUACUAAACCCUGGGUCAGGUGGCCUUGAUAACAUGCUUUGCAGGCCACAAUGACGGGGAGCAAUUUGACCAAGGGCCCCAGCUAGGACAUUCUGAAAUUCAACCGCACACCUGUGAGUUGUGCCUGGCCAUGUUUCCCAGGGUGAUUGCAGUCAUGGGCUUCACUGAGCAGGGAUGCUGAGGCAGGCUCAUUCCUGGGAGACAUAGGACUCCCCAACAGCCUUGCUACUCAGAUGCUUCUAUUCAACCUUUCCUUUUUCUUUCCCCCUACACCCAGUGCCAGACUUGCAUACAGUCUCCCAUUUUCUCUCACAGAGAUGGCCCUUUGCUUGUUUCCUUCUGUCUUAGCAUCUAUGUCCUGAAGGACCAAGGCUGACAUAAUACACUCUGUUUAGUUUUAAAGGGAAGUUGUUUGCCUACACUUAAGGAACUGCAUCUCCACACACUCAAGGAAUGUGGCUCUAACUUAGUCUUCUGCUGAAAAUGCGUAACAUUACCAAGCAGAUGUGGACUCUGGAUUGAGAUAGACUAAAAUUCCUUAUAAAUGAUUUUUCAAAAUAAAUUCCUAAUUCAUUCUCUUCUCCAAGAAGCCACAGUGCUUACUCUAAUCCUAAAGUCAUCAAUAGACAAUCCAUCCUUUCCAAUAAUGCUGAGAUUUUGUUUUCUAGAAUCCCACAUUCAGAUAAAUCAUGCCUAUAAAUUGUGUCAAUUAGAGUAUGUGUCAAUUAGAAUGUAUUUUGUGGCCUAAACCUCAACCUUUCACUUUAUUGGCAAUACUGGCAAUAUAUAGCUUUAUCUUGUUGCCUAGGUAACAGAUCCAUCCUGAACUAAUGUGGAUAUGUCAGUAUAAGUUGAAGACCGCUCAAGGAAAUGCAGCCCUUUUGGGUUCUCUGAAGGUCACUUUUCCUUGGACUGACUUUCCUCAUAGUCCCACACCCAGAAGCAAAAAUGAGCCAUCUCUUUUGUCUUUUCAAAGAUUGGAGAUACCUUUUCCAGAAAUCCUCCCAACAGCCUUGCCCUCAUGUUUCAAGGCCAGACUCCUUUUACCUGAGCAGAUCUGCAGCCAGUUUAUUGGCAAGUUGAGUAAGACUGAUGUGAUUAGCUGACACCAAUCAAGACCUACCCUCUGCAAUGUGGCCGUACCCAGGAGGAAGCACACCUGAAAAAAAGACAAUAUUCUCAUUGGAAGAAGCAAGCACAGAAAGGAGGUGGUAUUGGGGAAUAGGUAUUGCAUAGGCUACCAGCAAUGCCAGCUGAAACAUGAACAUGAUGGAUCCAUGAUGCAGCAAAUUAUCUGCCCCAUAAGGGUUUCAACUUGAAGUCUGUAAAUUUGUUUUGAUAAUCUUAUCAUUCUCACUUGUUAGCCUUUUAAAAUUUCAGGUUGAAGGCAGCCUAAAUAUUACAACAUUUUCAAGUUUUGGUGAUUAUUGUCUGACAUUUAAAACUAGCUAGACAUAAUAAUAUAUUAAAUUAAAGAGAUUUUAGU